rnacentral:lncRNA from 1 species
CCUGAUGGUAAGCUGUCAUGUGCCACUCUCCACCAUAAAGCUUUAAUUUUGGGAGGAAGAUCCAGGGACCAUAUUUUUGAGCAGAAAUUUUUGACUGCUUCCGAUAUUAAGAAAUCUUCUUCCUGCAUUUUUGACUGCUUCAGAUAUUAAGAAAUCUUCAUCCUGCUGACCUGUUUAAGUAUCUUGAGGCUUGUUUUUUUAUGGUAUCCUGACUUCACAUUGUACUCUCCCGUUUUUGAGUAGCUCCAGAUCAGCUUAUCCGCUCUUGUUGUUUCACCUGGCUAAUAUAGAAAAUAUAAUUCGCAUCGUCCUGAUGAACAAGAGCAGGUAUCAAUGGUACAUUCCAUUCUCGUGAUCCAGGUAUAAAAAGAUCUUUAACUUUUAUGUUAGGAUGACUGAUGACUCCACUUCUAGUAGCUGGUAAAGAAGGCCCUCUGUAGAGCCAAUUUUCUUCUCAUACUUUAAUCAUAUCCCCAUUUCCAAUCAA